rnacentral:rRNA from 1 species
CCUACGGGUGACAGCAGUGAGGAAUAUUGGUCAAUGGGCGCGAGCCUGAACCAGCCAAGUAGCGUGAAGGAUGACUGCCCUACGGGUUGUAAACUUCUUGUAUAAAGGAAUAAAGUGAGGCACGUGUGCCGUUUGGUAGGUACGUUAUGAAUAAGGAUCGGCUAACUCCGUGCCAGCAGCCGCGGUAAUACGGAGGAUCCGAGCGUUAUCCGGAUUUAUUGGGUUUAAAGGGAGCGUAGAUGGGUUGUUAAGUCAGUUGUGAAAGUUUGCGGCUCAACCGUAAAAUUGCAAUUGAUACUGGCAGUCUUGAGUACAGUUGAGGUAGGCGGCAUUCGUUGUGUCGCGGUGAAAUGCUUCGAUCUCACG